rnacentral:rRNA from 1 species
CCUACGGGAGGCAGCAGUGGGGAAUAUUGGACAAUGGGCGAAAGCCUGAUCCAGCAAUGCCGCGUGAGUGAUGAAGGCCUUCGGGUCGUAAAGCUCUUUUACCAGGGAUGAUAAUGACAGUACCUGGAGAAUAAGCUCCGGCUAACUCCGUGCCAGCAGCCGCGGUAAUACGGAGGGAGCUAGCGUUGUUCGGAAUUACUGGGCGUAAAGAGUACGUAGGCGGUUAUUCAAGUCAGAGGUGAAAGCCCGGGGCUCAACCCCGGAACUGCCUUUGAAACUAGAUAACUAGAGUCUUGGAGAGGUUAGUGGAAUUCCGAGUGUAGAGGUGAAAUUCGUAGAUAUUCGGAAGAACACCAGUGGCGAAGGCGACUAACUGGACAAGUACUGACGCUGAGGUACGAAAGCGUGGGGAGCAAACAGGAUUAGAUACCCUGGUAGUCCACGCCGUAAACGAUGAUAACUAGUUGUUCGGUCACUUGGUGACUGAGUGACGCAGCUAACGCAUUAAGUUAUCCGCCUGGGGAGUACGGUCGCAAGAUUAAAACUCAAAUGAGUAGNGCGUGNGAGUUGCGAGACGACACGAGGGAGAGG